GAUGAAGAACGUAGCGAAAUGCGAUAAGUAAUGUGAAUUGCAGAAUUCAGUGAAUCAUCGAAUCUUUGAACGCACAUUGCGCCCGCCAGUAUUCUGGCGGGCAUGCCUGUUCGAGCGUCAUUAAGUCCACUUAAGCCCUGCUUAGUGUUGGGAGACUGCUCCAGCGGUGCUACCCUGUAGCUACCCUGCAGCUCCUCAAAGACAGCGGCGGAGUUGUGGUAUCCUCUGAGCUUAGUAACUUGUUCUAGCUUUCGAGUACACCACUUCCCCUGCCGUAAAACCCUUAAUUUUUAAUGGUUGACCUCGGAUCAGGUAGGAAUACCCGCUGAACUUAAGCAUAUCAAAAGCGGAGGA
rnacentral:misc_RNA from 1 species